UGUUUUAGUCACGGAUCUGCCAGCGAGACACACACCAACUUUUUGUUGUCUUUUGAACUCUUAUAUGUCAAGCAUAAUGUUGUGCGCAUUGUAAUAUUUGAUUGAUUGUGCAAUCAAUGAAGAUUGGCCACCAGGCUAGUUAAAUUUAACCAUGAAACCUCCAACUCCAAAUUGUCUAGAUUCAUUGUAUAACCUGUGCGUGUGUGUAUGCAUUUUGCACUUUUUCACCUAAACAAAUGAAGAACGCAAUAAGACUCCCAGAUUGAUUCAUAAACCAAUUUAAGCAAGUCUGUUCUGUAUAGAAUUUGUCAUGAAUACUGAGUUUUCUUCAAAUUGACUGGUCUGAAAGUGUGGGAACCCUGUCUCUAACCAUACGCAGCUGUACUCGAUGUUUGACCACUUUUUAAUUUCUUCCUUUCUUUCAUUGGCUUUGAACUGCUCUUUUCUUCCAGAUUCAGCAGCUCUGGCUAUAGGCAGUUGUAGGAAUACACAGCUGAAGAGUGUCUAGAGUAAGGGCUCAUUUAAAAUGCACAAACAACAUGCCGUUACAACCAACACACUUUGUUUAAUGGAGAGCGAAAGACUGUGUGCCUGUGAGAGAGAGAAAGUAAAAGAACGAUUGCUUUGUUUGUGGAUUUCAGUCUGAAGUUAUGACGUAUCCAUAAAGGCACUACAACACGCACCUCUCGCAUGCACAAGAGCACGGUUUACUGUAUGUACAGACACGUUCUCUAUAUCUGUAUAUGUGUCUGAUGUCAGGUCACAGCCAAUGUCUCGCAUCCAGUGCUCAGAAUAGGCUUUUACUCAUGAUGUACUCUGGCAGUAAACUUCUAGAUGUUAUAUUGUUCUUGAAGGAAGCAGCAUGGCAGUUCAAUGAGUGCAUGGUGAAAUCUAGCAUUCAUAUUCAAGUGUCAAGUCGAUUGUAGAGUCCAGUAAAAGCAGUUUUUGUGUUUGUCUGAUCCAAAAUGCUAGGUUUUUGCUUAACUUAUUUUUUGUCUUUUUAUGCACUCAUGGCUUUCUCUUUAUCUGUCUCAUUGUGUGUGUAGUGUGAAUUGCUCUAAAAGUACUAAAAUAAUUUCCUUUUCCCUUUUUGUCUCUCUGUCCUUUUGCUUCAUUUUGAUCUCUAACAAAUACACAAUAACAGAGUCUCAACCGAGUUUGAGAGAAGCGGGAGAUUUGAGGGCUCAAGUCGCCAUGUAUCUGGGGAUCAGCAGAAAGAUGAAGGGAAAGAUGGAAAAGACGGGAAACCUCGCUCUCUCCGUUUCACCUGGAGUAUGAACACCACCAGCACCAUGGAACCAGCAGACAUCAUUAAUGAGAUUCGUACAGUUCUGGAUGCCAACAGCUGCAGUUACCAGCAACGCGAAUGCUUUCUGCUUCUGUGUGCCCAUGGCGACUCUCACACUGACAGCCUUGUCCAGUGGGAGAUGGAGGUGUGCAAACUGCCCCGGCUCUCACUUAAUGGUGUCGGUUUUAAGAGGAUAUCUGGCAACUCCAUCGCUUUUAAAAACAUUGCUUCCAAAAUUGCAGGCGAACUCAAGCUAUGAAUAUAUCUUUAUCUACACAGAGGAAUUUAUGAUUUAGUUCAGUAUAGGCAAACCAAUUAAGCUGUACAAUCGUAAAGUAGCAGUUUACAUUUUUUUUUACGAACCACUUACAUGUAUUUGAAAAACUGUAUAUAUUUUAACAUUGCUUAAAGCAAUAAUUUCUUAACAUCGGUCACACAGUUAUGGUAUUAUCAUGCAAGUCGUUAAAUGCUGUAUGAAAAAGAACAGGUUUGAAACUUUGUGUUACGACUGUAUGAACACAUUAAAAGCAGACUCAUUGCCAUCAGACAGAGUUGAGAAUGAUCAUUCAGGAUUUGUGGUAUUUUGUUUUAUUUGAGCUUUUUAAUAGCCACAGUUAUGUGGUGGUUUUAAGUAUUACGUGUUUGGAUGGCUCUUGUGUAAGGCUGAUCCUUGAGUUGCUUAAGACUUCCUUUUUUAUUUUGCUCUGCACCUCUUUGUAUUGAGGUUGUUUUGUCUGUGAAAAUGGCUACAGUAAAACUGAUUUGAGUUCAGUUUCACUGCUUGAAUGUUAAGAGCAACAUUUAGAUGUUUUAUAAUUUAUUUGAUGUUAUUGCCCACUCAAUUGUAUUUUGUUGUGUAAAUAAUUUACUUUGAGGUAGUUACACAUUUUCAUACUAAUUUGUUGGAAGUUAAGACGGCAUCUCGUAAUCUUUCACUUUUAAGACUCACCACAGAUUCAAAUAAACUAUCUGUAACUUGUCACGGUGUUAAUUGCAGAGAUAUAAUACAGCUACAAAAUGAUCUCAA